AGACCCUGCCCAUAUUCUGUGUGUGCAGAGGGAACAGCCUAUGCAGAAAUGGAACAUCUGAAAGAGAGCUGAAAGCAGGAUGCAAUUGUCACGGCUGCUGGAAGCCAAUCAGCGCGGUGUGAGUGGGAGCCCGCUGGUGCUCUCCAAUGGUCCUUGAUUAAAAAGGAAGCUCUUGGCCAUCUUCAAGCAGCAGGAGAGGAAACAGCACGGAUGAAGGUCCAGCUGUGGCUCAGCUCCCCUCCAGGCACUUCACAUGCCAGGCAGGCUCAGGUGGUGGCCAUGCUGUGGAAUUUCUCCCAUAAAAAUGGAAGAACUGCUGAUCAAAGACCAGCAGACCAGCUCCCUGUCCUGAUACUGCUGGGAGUGACAGCAGGUUCUCUAGGAUGGAAUCCACAAGAAG